ensembl:lncRNA
AUGUCCCCAAAUUGGGAUGGGGACAAGGGUCCUAGGGUUGGGAAAUACCCCCAUAUUGGGGACAAGAGCCUUGGUUUGGGGACAAGGGUCCCUGGGAUGGGAAAUGUCCCCAAACUGGGGACAAGUGCCCUGUUUUGGGGACACAGGGCAGGGCCACGGGUCCUCAUGUUGGGGGUGAAGGGUGCCAGGAUGGAAACAAGCGUUGGGGUCCCACGCCCAGGUUUUGGGGUCCCAUGCCCAGGUUUUGGGGGUCCAGAUUUGGGGUCCAUCCCCCCCACUCACCGUCUCAUCACGGCUGCGUCGCGCUCGUGCCCUGGUGGCUCUGGCAGGAGGGGGGGCGGCGGCGGAGGGAAACCCCCCCAUCCCAGCGGUAGAAUAACUGGGUCCUGGAAGGUCAUAAGGAUCUACAGGAGCACCGGGACCGGUGGGAGGUGGAGGAGGUGGUGGUGGAUGAGCCAUAGGACCCCCAGAUUGAGGUUGGGGGGGUUGAGUUUGGGCCACCGAAGAGAUGAGGGUGGGCUGCACCAACCACUGCAGGUCCUGGCUGCUGGUGAUGGCCGUCACGGUGGGCACGAAGGAGCCGGGCAUGUCCCCCAGUGCGCUGCACUCCUAGGGGUUGUGGGGGGGGGAGAAGGUCAGGAGGGGGGAAGUGUGACCCCCAAGCCCCCCCCCAGCUCACACGCACACACACGCGCGCGCACACUCGCGUAGAGGGACGCCCUUGCACGCUCACAAUUGAUUUACGUGAGGUCACCAGAGCGCACGACUUGUGGUGGGGGCAGCCGCCCUGCGUGGCCACGCAUUGAGUGAUGUGCACACGAGUGUGCGAGGCUGCCCACGUGCAAUACCGUCUUGCACGCGCAGCACGGUGUGCACGGCCUGCAUUGAGUGAUGUGCACACGAGUGUGCGAGGCUGCCCACGUGCAAUACCGUCUUGCACGCGCAGCACGGUGUGCACGGCCUUGCCUGGAUUCAGACUGUGUGACUUCUCACGAGCACAAACUCCUUGCACGCCCUGCAGCACUGUGUGUGAGCUCUUGUGCCCACAGAUUACCUUGCACCCCCAUCACCAGUUCUUGUGCACACAGACUGCCUUGCACACCCAGCACUGGUGUGCACAGCCUCCCUGGCACCAGAUUGUGCGACUUCCCACGUGCACAGAUCCCUUGCACACCUACCACCAGUGUGCACAACCUUCUGGUGGGGGCAGCCGCCCUGCGUGGCCACGCAUUGAGUGAUGUGCACACGAGUGUGCGAGGCUGCCCACGUGCAAUACCGUCCUGCACGCGCAGCACGGUGUGCACGGCCUGCCUGGAUCCAGACUGUGUGACUUCCCACGUGCACAGAUCCCUUGCACACCUACCGCCAGUGUGCACAAGCUCCUUGCACACCCAGCAUCACUGUGUGUGAGCUCUUGUGCACACAGACUGCCUUGCACACCCAUCACCAGUGUGCACAUUCUCCCUGGCACCAGCGUGUGUGACUUCUCACGAGCACAAACUCCUUGCACGCCUACUGCCUGACACCAGUGUGCGCAAGCUCCUUGAGUGCCCUGCAGCACUGUGCGUGAGCUCUUGUGCACACAGACUGCCUUGCACGCCAAUCACUGGUGUGCACAGCCUCCCUGGCACCAGUGUGUGUGGACCUCUAGUGCACAGCAUCCUUGCACGCCCAACACCACUGUGC